rnacentral:rRNA from 1 species
UACAGAGGUCUCAAGCGUUGUUCGGAUUCAUUGGGCGUAAAGGGUGUGUAGGUGGCGCCGUAAGUCGGGUGUGAAAUUUCGGAGCUUAACUCCGAAACUGCAUUCGAUACUGCGGUGCUUGAGGACUGGAGAGGAGACUGGAAUUCAUGGUGUAGCAGUGAAAUGCGUAGAGAUCAUGAGGAAGACCAGUGGCGAAGGCGGGUCUCUGGACAGUUCCUGACGCUGAGGAAGCGAAAGGCGUGGGGAGCGAACAGG